rnacentral:tRNA from 1 species
GCGAUCAUAGCUCAGUCGGUUAGAGCACCAGAUUGUGGAUCUGGGGGUCGCGGGUUCGAGUCCCGUUGGUCGCCCCA